CCUACGGGUGGCAGCAGUGAGGAAUAUUGGUCAAUGGGCGAGAGCCUGAACCAGCCAAGUCGCGUGAGGGAGUACUGCCCUAUGGGUUGUAAACCUCUUUUGUCGGGGAGCAAAAGCCGGACGUGUCCGGCUGUGAGAGUACCCGAAGAAAAAGCAUCGGCUAACUCCGUGCCAGCUGCCGCGGUUAUAAGGGGGGAGCGAGCGUUAUCCGGAUUUAUUGGGUUUUAAGGGUGCGCAGGCGGGUGGUUAAGUCAGCGGUCAAAUGGUGGGGGUUAACCCCAUCCAGCCGUUGAAACUGGGGGACUAGAGUGGGCGAGAGGUAUGCGGAAUGCGGGGUGUAGCGGUGAAAUGCAUAGAUAUCGCGAAGAACCCCGAUUGCGAAGGCAGCGUACCGGUGCAAAACGGACGCUGAGGCACGAAAGCGUGGGGAUCGAACAGGAUUAGAUACCCGAGUAGUC
rnacentral:rRNA from 1 species